rnacentral:rRNA from 1 species
AACGAACGCUGGCGGCAGGCCUAACACAUGCAAGUCGAGCGAGCAUUUCGGUGCUAGCGGCGGACGGGUGAGUAACGCGUGGGAACGUGCCCUUUUCUGCGGAAUAGUCCUGGGAAACUGGGGGUAAUACCGCAUACGCCCUUUUGGGGAAAGAUUUAUCGGAGAAGGAUCGGCCCGCGUUGGAUUAGGUAGUUGGUAGGGUAAUGGCCCACCAAGCCGACGAUCCAUAGCUGGUUUGAGAGGAUGAUCAGCCACACUGGGACUGAGACACGGCCCAGACUCCUACGGGAGGCAGCAGUGGGGAAUCUUAGACAAUGGGGGCAACCCUGAUCUAGCCAUGCCGCGUGAGUGAUGAAGGCCUUAGGGUUGUAAAGCUCUUUCAGCUGGGAAGAUAAUGACGGUACCAGCAGAAGAAGCCCCGGCUAACUCCGUG